GGGUGUAUGUUGUCCCGUGUGUGUGGGUGUGCCCGUGUGAGUAUGUGUGUUGUUGUGUAUGGGUGUGUGCGUGUACAGUGUGUGUGUGUGUGUGUGUGUAAGCGUGUGUGAGUGUGUGUGGUGCACGUGUGUGAGUGUGUGUGGUGCACGUGUGCGUGUGCGUGUGUUGUGCACGUGUGUUGUGUGUUGCGUGUGUGCGUGUGUAGGUGUGCAUGUAUGCUGUGCAUGUGUACAUGUGUGUUGUGCAUGCAUAUGUGUGUGCUGGCGUGUGUGUUUGUGUGUUGUGUGGGUUUGGGCUCAAGCCCAAACCACCCCUUUUGUUCCUAACUAUUCAAGCCCAAAACCCAAUAAGUCGUAACCCUAUUUAACCUAAACUUAAACCCUAAUUCGGAUCCAAACCCAAUACCCAUUUCCAUUUCUUGAAAUUCUAUAGUUGGGUAGUUUGAUAAAUUGUAUAUUUUUGUGCUUAUGUGAAGUUGCUAGUGGGGAUUUUCUUAAUCUUUUUCCGCACAACUAUGCUACUACGGAGUAUCUGUGAGUGAACCUCUUCUAAAAUUUGCAUAAUUUCAUAGUUUAUUUGCAUAAAUGAAAUGCAUGCCUUACG
rnacentral:lncRNA from 1 species